UUCAAAAGCACAUAUAGAUACUGAUAGGUGGUAGGGCCAUGGUUUUAAAUUCCUUGAAAAAAUACGUACAUGAUUAUCUAAGUGUGACUCCUUUGAUCAUUUUUAUUAACGUAUUUUGAGAUAUGACUUUUUAGCCAGAGUGGUAUCCCUCCACGCAUAUAAAUAUGCUAAGCAGAAGUGCAAAGUAGCCAUGGCCGGUGUGUCCUUCGCUAACUUUGUGCCGCCUCCGCACUUGCACAAGCCGUUGGCUCCCAUCUGCUGUCCGCGUUUUGUGCCACCUGAAUGCUGCCCGUCUUAUUGCCCAGAGGAGUAUAAACCUGUCUGUGCCACUGACUGCCACCAUCUGCGGACUUUUGCCAACAUUUGUUUCAUGCAUGCUACAAACUGCCUGGAAAAUACGAGAUACCGCAAAGUCUAUGACGGAAAAUGCCCAAACAGCCACCCAAUGCUCCAGUUCCAUGAUAAAGAAAUUGAGUGGAUGUAAAAAUGAAACUUGUAACAUUUUGAAUGAAUAAAGCAUUCUAUAAAUAA